AGGAGGACGAGGAGGUGAGGCUUGUGCCCAUUCGGGGCCGGGCGCCUGGGCGGGCGGCGGUCGCGGCGGGCGGCGGUGAUGACAUCCCAUGAAAGCACGCGUUAGACUGCUGAUUCUGAUCGCCGCUGCGAAGGACGUGGCGCUCCGCCGAUGUCUUGGGCCCCUGCCCGCCUUCCCGUCUAAUAAAAUGGCUUGAGCGCA